GACGAACGCUGGCGGCGUGCUUAACACAUGCAAGUCGAACGGAAAGGCCCUGCUUUUGUGGGGUGCUCGAGUGGCGAACGGGUGAGUAACACGUGAGUAACCUGCCCUUGACUUUGGGAUAACUUCAGGCAACUGGGGCUAAUACCGGAUAGGAGCUCCUGCUGCAUGGUGGGGGUUGGAACGUUUCGGCGGUUGGGGAUGGACUCGCGGCUUAUCAGCUUGUUGGUGGGGUAGUGGCUUACCAAGGCUUUGACGGGUAGCCGGCCUGAGAGGGUGACCGGCCACAUUGGGACUGAGAUACGGCCCAGACUCCUACGGGAGGCAGCAGUGGGGAAUAUUGCACAAUGGGCGGAAGCCUGAUGCAGCAACGCCGCGUGCGGGAUGACGGCCUUCGGGUUGUAAACCGCUUUCGCCUGUGACGAAGCGUGAGUGACGGUAAUGGGUAAAGAAGCACCGGCUAACUACGUG
rnacentral:rRNA from 1 species